rnacentral:rRNA from 1 species
AGUGAACGCUGGCAGUAGGCCUAACACAUGCAAGUCGAACGGCAGCACAGUAAGGGCUUGCUCUUACGGGUGGCGAGUGGCGGACGGGUGAGGAAUACAUCGGAAUCUACUUUUUCGUGGGGGAUAACGUAGGGAAACUUACGCUAAUACCGCAUACGACCUACGGGUGAAAGCAGGGGAUCUUCGGACCUUGCGCGAUUGAAUGAGCCGAUGUCGGAUUAGCUAGUUGGCGGGGUAAAGGCCCACCAAGGCGACGAUCCGUAGCUGGUCUGAGAGGAUGGUCAGCCACACUGGAACUGAGACACGGUCCAGACUCCUACGGGAGGCAGCAGUGGGGAAUAUUGGACAAUGGGCGCAAGCCUGAUCCAGCCAUACCGCGUGGGUGAAGAAGGCCUUCGGGUUGUAAAGCCCUUUUGUUGGGAAAGAAAAGCAGCAGGUUAAUACCCCGCUGUUCUGACGGUACCCAAAGAAUAAGCACCGGCUAACUUCGUG